rnacentral:rRNA from 1 species
AGAGUUGAUCAUGGCUCAGAACGAACGCUGGCGGCGCGUUUAAGCAUGCAAGCGAGCGGCAGGGGGCUUCGGUCCCCGAGAGCGGCGGACGGUGAGUAACACGUGGACAACCUGGCCCCCCGGUUCGGGAUAGCCCAGGGAAACCUGGAUCAAUACCGGAUGCGAGGGCGGCCGCACGAAGCGGCCGUCGGGAAAGGCGCUUCGGCGCCGCCGGGGGAUGGGUCCGCGUCCCAGUUAGCUAGACGGUGGGGUAACGGCCCACCGUGGCGAUGAUGGGUAGCCGGCCUGAGAGGGUGGACGGCCACAUUGGAACUGAGACACGGUCCAGACUCCUACGGGAGGCAGCAGCUAAGAAUCUUCCGCAAGUGGGCGAAAGCCUGACGGAGCGACGCCGCGUGAACGAAGAAGGCCGUGAGGUUGUAAAGUUCUUUUCGGGAGGGGAACGAGGCUGCCAGGCAAUGGGCGGCCGAUGACGUGAAUCCCGGAAUAAGCCCCGGCUAACUACGUGCCAGCAGCUGC